rnacentral:rRNA from 1 species
UACGAAGGGGGCUAGCGUUGCUCGGAAUUACUGGGCGUAAAGGGCGCGUAGGCGGAUAGUUUAGUCAGAGGUGAAAUCCCAGGGCUCAACCUUGGAACUGCCUUUGAAACUGCGGGUCUUGAGUUCGAGAGAGGUGAGUGGAAUUCCGAGUGUAGAGGUGAAAUUCGUAGAUAUUCGGAGGAACACCAGUGGCGAAGGCGGCUCACUGGCUCGAUACUGACGCUGAGGUGCGAAAGCGUGGGUAGCAAACAGG